CAGACGAGCCACUUGUGUUCGGGCAGAUCGAGGAUUUUGCUCGUGGAUGGGUACAGCCACAGAAACGGGGUGCUCAGGAGCCACCAGAGCGGCUCCAAUGCCCAGAGGGCUGGUGUUGCUACACCUGAGAAUGUUGUUAUUCCCUGUUGAUGUUUCAGCUUGAGAAGGAAUGUAGUCUGACACAAUGGAAUGGCUUCAUAAAGUAGAGUGUUGGAUGAAUGGUAGCUUCAAAGGUCUGUAUUCAGUCUUAAUUUUACCUUAACUUUGACUGGUGCGCUGGAAAAAGUUACACUUUUUCAUCAUAAACUCAGAAAACUAAUGUUUGAUUUCUAGUCAAAAUUAAAUUCAAAUGUUGAAAAAUGUAUUUUUCAAUAAAAUAAAGCUUUACAUUUAAAAAAAUUUUUUUUUAGCAGUAGUCCUGUGUGACACCUUGUUGUGAUGGGAAAUAUCUUAAUAUGUUUCUGCAUUUAUAACAUAUCUCUGUCCCAGUAGCGUGUUGGGUUGUUGGCCCUGCUUUCAAAAUUGGACACUAAAAAAUGUACACAAGGCCUUUGUUAUAUUUCGUUUAUUCGUCAUUUUGAACAUGCUCAUGUGACACCUUGACCUGCAUUCUUGAAACUAGCAGCAUAUCCUCUACUGACUGAUGAACAGGCCUGCUAGUAGAGCACUCCCUUAUGCUGAACAUAUGGUAAAGAUGUACAGUGGUUUUUCACAACCAAAAUAACUGCUCAACUCGGCGUCCCAUGGUUCCGUUUGUCAUGCAUGACCAGGUCAAUUACAUUUACAUUCAGUCAAGUCAUUGAACUUCAGGGUCAUUUUUCAGUCGAUGAACUGGAAGUUCAGUUCAUUUCCUGAAUCUGACGGAACCGAAAUGGCAGGGACGGCCUCGCCGCUGUACGCAGUCGCUAGCGUGUAACGCCCUGGGGAAAAGGCGCAUCGCACAGCGUUGACGCGAGAGAUCGUGGCACUGCGCCGUCGACCGCAGGGCGCGUGUUGACUUGUUGCCGAGAGACGGGG